GGACGCUCAUGGCCCAGGCUCGCUGGAUGGCUGCAGGCGAGCAGGCGAGAGAGAAGGGUGUCUUAGCUGUGCCCACAAGGUCAGACAUUUCAGACUACUCUGGUGACUUUCCCAAAGUGAGACAGUGGAGCCAGCAUCUUGAACCCACACCAGAAAGUAGAGGAACUAGAAGUCAGAGGUACAGCAUUGGCCAACCUCUGCCUGCCAUCCACUUAUAAGGGCAAGGACACUGGACCUUGCUAUGAGCUCUAUGAUGACAGGCCAAGACAGCUCCACUGAAGCCAGCCAUCCCAAGAGGGUCCUCAUAGCUCCACCACAGUAAAACCUAUGCUACCUCCCAAAGGGUUCACGUGGCUCAUUACCCGGCUCUUGGCCUCAGUCAGUACUCCUAACUGCCUUGACCAUCUCAGCCAUCUCCGUCAAUGGCAAAGUCAAGGCUGGCGGUCCACACUUCCUCAACUCAUGGUGCCUGCGUCCAGAGCUUCACAGUUCCACGGGGAUCAUCUUUGUCUCUGCCAGCAUCACAGCUGUGGCUAUGUAUGCAGUGGGCUUUGCAGAGAUCCUCUUGGGUCAGCUCCAGGUAGGUCGUGCCUAUCCUUUCUCUUUUUGUCCUUUUUUCUCAAGUUUGCUGACUUUGGAAGGUCUAACCCUGCACUGUAGCUCCAGCUUGGGCAAAUCAUUUCAAAAGUCAUACGGAGACAUCGAAUCAGCCAAGAAGCACUCCGUAAUGUCUGUGGAACGUGGGGUGCAGCUGCUGUACAUGGACCCGGAAGAUGAGGUGUGGGGGUGCACGUGGGGAAAUGACUAUCUUCUGGGUGUGGCACCGGCCAGCACACCGUGGGAACCUAAGGCAGCUGCCAGGAAACUGAAGCGGGGAUGAGGAAGCUGAAGGGAGGGUGGUGAGUGGGACCAAACAGCAAUGGCGGAGAUGUGGGGAGCAGCUGCCACCUGAAAAGGCUCAGCCAAGUAUGGAAAGAGCUGAUGUUGCAGGUUUCCAUGGAAAGCAACUUGAAGUCAGAUGGUUUUGUUGGGUGAGGCUCCACACCCCAGCUCAAGAAGAAAGGAAAGAGGCCUUGUUCUGAAGGCCUGGUGGGAUGUGCACCAGGCAAGACUAAGCGGAGGGUAGCGAUGAGAAAUGACACGUACUGCCCUCAGAUGUCUACAGUUUUAAGAUCCGCCUCUGGCGUGAGCAGGAAUACCUUGCAGCUGGAGGGAAGAAAGAAAGGAUGCUCAUUUGGCCAGGACUUCUUCAUGGGAACAGGUUGGUGGAAAGGGAAGGAGAAGGCUAAGAGGAGCAGUAAAAUGGGACAAAGAGAAUUAGUGAGGACUUGGAAGUCACCCCUUUUUCUCCCUCUCACAUUUCCCCCUUCUCUUUUUGUCACCCAUGGUAUUUUAGAACCAA